rnacentral:rRNA from 1 species
AAUUUUGGACAAUGGGGGAAACCCUGAUCCAGCCAUCCCGAGUGUAUGAUGAAGGCUUUCGGGCUGUAAAGUACUGUUGACAGGGAAGAAAAGGCUCUGGCUAAUACCUGGAGCUGCUGACGGUACCCGCAGAAUAAGCACCGGCUAUCUACGUGCCAGCAGCCGCGGUAAUACGUAGGGUGCAAGCGUUAAUCGGAAUUACUGGGCGUAAAGCGUGUGUAGGCGGUUCGGAAAGAAAGAUGUGAAAUCCCAGGGCUCAACCUUGGAACUGCAUUUUUAACUGCCGAGCUAGAGUAUGUCAGAGGGGGGUAGAAUUCCACGUGUAGCAGUGAAAUGCGUAGAUAUGUGGAGGAAUACCGAUGGCGAAGGCAGCCCCCUGGGAUAAUACUGACGCUCAGACACGAAAGCGUGGGGAGCAAACA